rnacentral:rRNA from 1 species
UACGUAGGUGGCAAGCGUUGUCCGGAUUUACUGGGCGUAAAGAGCGCGCAGGCGGUCGUUCAAGUCGCGUGUGAAAGCCCCCGGCUCAACUGGGGAGGGUCACGCGAUACUGAUCGACUCGAAGGCAGGAGAGGGUAGUGGAAUUCCCGGUGUAGUGGUGAAAUGCGUAGAUAUCAGGAGGAACACCAGUGGCGAAGGCGACUACCUGGCCUGUUCUUGACGCUGAGGCGCGAAAGCUAGGGGAGCAAACGGG